GUUCCCAAAACCAAAUCCGC
rnacentral:snRNA from 1 species